AGCUUUCCACCCUGAGUCCGGGAGCCAGAUAUGUAAACAAACCAUGAGGUGUGAAUCAAGAGUGAAGUUUGUCCUGUUUACACUGUAGUUUGUCGAGGGUUACAAUUCAGUGAAAUUCAACACGAACAUUUGUCCUUUGAAGCAGCUGGUUCCUUUGAAGCAGCUAAAAUGUUCACCUCCGUUUGUUUCUCGCUGGAUGACUAAUUGUGAAGAUGGUUUGAUAUGCUUUGCUGCAAAGAGAACCUGGCUGUCUUUUGGCUGGUACUCUCUUCCAGCUAAAAAUGGGAAACUGAAGACAGAAAGCCACAGAGGAACACAGGUGUGCUGAGCUCCAGGAGAAAUUCUCAACCACCGUGCUUUUCCAAAACACACAUUCCUCUGGGAGAGCUAACAAGGGAUGGUACGAACAGCAAAAUGUGUCGUACAUUCACCAGAUCCUCCAAGGAAGAAGGGCCCACCGCAGCUCCCACAUGAGGGUGAGGGCAUGUCGCCCAAGCGAGGGAGUGAAGGACGACAGGGUCCCGGAAGAUAGGGCUCCAGGGUGACACCUGGGUCCUCUUUGGGAUACUCCGUCCCCGCUGCAAGUCUCUACCUCCGGGCACCCCGACUGGACGUUUUGGAAGGAAAAGCACCGCCAAGGACAAGAGAACAAGAACCCGGGUUGACGACAACGUGCCGAGGAAAAUUUGCAAGGGGUCAGCUCCUCGAAACCUCCCGGCAGAGAAAUGGGAAAUCACGGAUCAUGAGAAAUGGGUCAGAGCCUCUCCAUUUACUGUACAGUAAUAACAUAAGCAACUGACCUUCCGAAGAGUGUUUUAUGGUAUUUUUCAUGGCAAGGCUGUCACUCUUGGGUCCGCUAACCCUCACUUUGCUACUUCUAUUCAUACGCUUUAUAUGUAUUUAUUUGUUGAGUUAUAUAUUUUAGCUGAACUUGGAAUGACAGUUAUUUUUAAGAGGCUGCCAACAUGGGUCCGGAGGAACCUCAGAAACCUGGCUCACGGUGGCUCUGGCAUAAGGAACCUCGACAGCCAAAACCAGCCAGAAAGCUGAUGAGAUCCAGGUUUCCAAAACACUAGCGGAAAGGCAUCCUUCUGCUUUCUUCCAUAAAGCUUUUGCAAAAAAAAAAAAAAAAAGUUAUUUACCAAAGAGGACUCCUUGUGUCACACAACCAACCACUUCCUUGAGUGUUCAGAGUGUAAAUCUUAGAGGUCCGUGUGUCGGGGUCUAGCUGCAAGGAGGAUGCGGCUUUCUUCACCUGGGUUUGCGACAAGGUGUGAGACAGGUGUGGUGCCCCAGGGGCCAGGGCCCCCGACGCACCCGACACCGACACAGCUGCCUUCUGAAUUUGCGGCCCUGAGUUUCUCCACUGACAGCCUUCCAAAACUAAUUGAGGCUGUUAGGAUAAAGAGGGCAGUUUCUCAGCUUCGGUACCUUUAAGGUUAUUUCAACUUUCCACCUCUGUUAACUGUCCUGCAGGAACUUCUGACAGAGAGCCCUCCCUUACCAUUCAAAAGGCCGAGGUGUUCCAAAAAACACCCUCCCACUCCUCAUCAGAGAGCUGAAGCCCGGGUCCUUGUCUAACGAAUUUCGGAGAUGACGGUCAACAGGUCUGGGGAUGACUUAACCAUGUUUAUGACAGGCAGACUCCUGGGUUGAGGCUCGGGACAAACCAACCUUUCACAUGAGUCCUUCAAAACAGACAGUGUUCUGUUUGAAUUUCUGAACCCCAUUCUAGGACAAACAUGCUUGGCAUCUAGUGCCAGAGACUUUUCUUCUUGGCCAACGGCUCAGCGGCCACCAUGGCUAUUACACCUUAGGUCCCUGCAGUCUCCUCUCUUCCCCUGCCCCUCAUCCCCUUUUCCCUGAGCUAGUCGCUGUGCCCAGGCUGCAGGGGUAGAGGCGAUGGAUCCGGAUGCCAGCGAGCUGUCAGAGCCUCUGCCUGGGGCUCAGUCACGUCACACUCCUCCCAGUCCCUCCUUGGUCUGGCAUGACGACAGAUGGCCACCGUGCCCAUCGUUUGUCCAUCACUCCGACGCUGGCCACGGGGCCAACAUCAACGCAGACCAGCCCACGCCUGAUCACAUGAAGACACGGGGGCAUCCAGAGAUCCCCCUCAACUCAAAGGACCUUUAUCACUCCUGUCCCCAGUGUCUUCGAAGGAGCGAUGGUAGAGAGAAUAACCUUUCUCAGCUCUCCUCUCGAUGCCUUUGGAAAGAUCUUAGACUUAUCUGACCGCGGACAAGCAGCAGCCCUUGGAAAUGAUCAAACCCAUACCCCCUCUCCCAUUCGAAAGUGUUCUUUCGUAGAGGCCCAAUUCCUUAUUGGAUUGCUUCCUGCUGACUAAGGACGAACUUUUUCUCCUAGGGAUUGACUGAAAUGUAAGAGUUGGAAAUGGUCUUAAAGAUCACUUGAUUUAAUGGUCCCACGAACUGAAAAUGCCUACUAGCUACUGUAGCACAAAGCUUCCUGGGCCUCAACCUCCCUCCCCAACCCAAGCUCUAGGCUAACUCGGUAGAGGCCUGGUGGGGGACCUACAGCUGCUCCAAGGGGUUCUGAAGCCACAUCUGAAAACCACUAAUAUAAUCCAACUUCCUCGUUUUUCCUAAGGCCCAGAGAAUUUAGGUUACUUGCCGAAGGCCACACAAUCGUUAAUGACAAGCCUGACUUCUGCAGUUUCUGGUGUCGCCUGACCACUGACAUUCUUUACCUGCCUUUAGUACUUAGUAAAACUUCAGUCAUUUAGUCUCUGCUAAUAAAGAUAAUGUUUUCUUACGGCUAUCCAAUUCAAUUUCUUUGAAUUUAUUGCAUAACCUAUAAAUUUUUGGUCUUACAUGCAAGUGUCACAUUUCUUAAAUCAGGAGUGUUUUCUAAAAAAAAAAUUAUAGAUUCUUCAUUCAUUCACCUUCAGAUUCUA